AAAAUAAAAUGAAAAUAAAAGGAUUUCCUUUCCAUUAAUUCCAUGUUCUUAACUUGACAGAUUUGGUUAUUGACUUGGAAGGCAAAUAUCUGGCCAGACUGCAAGACUUAUGCUCGCAGCGUGGGACAGCUCUCGUAAAGGUGAUUCAAGGUAGCUUCUGGAAAAGAAGACAUCAGAUCUCCAAAACAGCUUUCUUUGUGCUAAUGUAGGAAGGGCGACUAAGAGUACAGACCCUUCUCUGUCCGUCGGCCUGUCCUGCCAACUCUGGUGUGAGUGUGAAGCUGUGGCAAGAGGGGUUUCCCAUUCCUACUGGACCUGGUGGACACCAGCUUUCCUAGGAAAUUGCUGAUGUUGCUGAGGAGGCAGCAGUAUCAAAGGCCUUGUUGAUGAAGGUACAACAAGCUGGGGAGGCUUUGGCAUUUCUGCACAAUGCUGCUCCCUGAUUGUCACUCCAGACUCAGAUUCGGAAAGAAGCAAAGCAAGCCAGAGGAAAACUGGAUGUCCAGUAUCCAAAACUCCGUAUCACAGCGGAUCUUCUCCUCUGAUCCAAAAAGCUUCACAGGCCAAAAGAGAAUUGAGAUGAAGAAGGCAAUAGAGAAUGCAGACCAAUACUUCCAAUUACCACCCCAACUUCUGUCUUGGCUCUUCACAUCCAGCCAGAGCAGUUUCUUUGCCUCCGCAACCUGCAGGCUGUCCUCGCGUGUGUACCUGUGGUGGACUGAGGGUAAUGCUUGUAACGCACACAGAUGCUGUAUUCACUAGCACUUUGAGAAAAGACAGCAAGAAGCUAACCCGCGCAGCAGUUUCUUAGGUUUCUGUCUAUCUAUCCAUCUCUCUGCGUAUAUAUUUCAUUACUUAUUUACUUAUUUAAAGAUCCUUUAAAUAGAAUAGAUACUUUAAGAAAGCUUACUUGUUCUUCUCCUUUACUUGUUUUUAACGUUUACUUUUCUAACCAAUCCUUAAUGUUACAACAUUGGAUUUAUUUAGUUCUCAGUUCUUAGAAGUUCUCAAAGCACAUCAGUGAUUUCUAUAGUUCUCAGUCUUUCCAUCUGCAUUGAGACCUUUUAUCUGGAUUUAGGUAUGAGGUGAAGAAGAACACUGAAACCAGCUGAAGCCGUAUCGGCCACAUGCUUCUGCUCGGAAGUAAUUCAGAGUGAUUCCAUGGUGUACUUUAGACAGAUUUCCUCUGGUCCUCUGGACUCAGCAUCCCCAAGGGAUCUUUCAAAGCUCUCUGAAGGACCUGUCAUUAUCUCUGACACUGCAGUCUCGAUUAGGAAGGGGUAAAUAUUCCUUGCCCUUGUGCAAAGGAACUACUCAGUCAGCUGUUUCUAACCCAAAUCUCUUUGUUGUCUUCUGUUGACAGACACCACCCGGCUAGCCAAGCUAACCCAUUGAAAAAGGAAGGAGUGGGACUACUUCCAAACCCUGCUGCCGCUUCUAAGCAGAACUGCGCUGUAGGUGGGGACACAGCAAGAGGACACGUCCAGGCCACGGUGGAACUGCAAGGCACCUGUCUGAGCCACAGAAGGAAGUCAGCGCUUCCCAGUUGAAGACUGUUGCUCGACCAGUGACACAGCAGCUGGAGCGCUUCUGGUUGCUGCUGAUGGGUUCCCGUGACUCAGCCAGGGAUAGGAGCUAUGAGAACGACUGAAGCGAUUUGAAGUUGCCCGAAAGAAAGAAGAGAGGAGAGAAGAAGACAAGCGGGGAGGGGAGGGAAUAAAAAGAAGGGAGGGGAGGGAAUAAAAAGAAGG
rnacentral:lncRNA from 1 species